CCGACUGGGGUGGGGAGAGGGGCACCCCCAGCCCUUCUGCCCUCAUCAUUCGUCCUCUGGCACCCGAAUUCCCCUUUCCGCCUUUCCUCCAACAAGCAGGCAAGCUCUCGAGGGGUCCCUCCACCCCCGUCGGGCCCUCGGGCGCCCCACGGCGAGGAAGAUGCAUCUGACCCCGAGCUUGACCUCAUCUCUGAGAGGGCAAAGUGACAAUAUGAAAGGAACCCAAGUGCCUGCUGGAGAAGGUGAAGUUGAGCUGCCUGCCAUCCUAGACCCCUCCCUUCCAGCCGACUGUGAGAAAUAAACGUCUGUUUCUGA